GCCCUGGUGGUGCAGUGGUUAAGUGCUCGGCUGCUAACUGAAAGGUUAGUGGUUCAAACCCACUCUGUGGCU
rnacentral:tRNA from 1 species